rnacentral:rRNA from 1 species
CAUGCCGUAAAUGAUGCUCGCUAGGUGUUUCUUCGAAUUUAUUCGAGGGAGUGCCGUAAGCUAACGCGUUAAGCGAGCCGCCUGGGUAGUAUAGUCGCAAGACUGAAACUCAAAGGGAUAGGCGGGGGAACACACAAGCAGUGGAUUGCCUCGAUUAAUUGGAUAAUAAGCCAAGAAUCUUACCUAGGCUUGACAUCCCGAGAAUUUUAGCGAAAGUUAGAAGUGCCUCGCAAGAGGAGCUCGGUGACAGGUGC